UACGGAAGGCAGCAGUGGGGAAUAUUGCACAAUGGGCGAAAGCCUGAUGCAGCUAUGCCGCGUGUAUGAAGAAGGCCUUAGGGUUGUAAAGUACUUUCAUCGGGGAGGAAAAAACAAAACUAAUAAUUUUAUUUCUUGACGUUACCCGAAAAAGAAGCACCGGCUAACUCCGUGCCAGCAGCCGCGGUAAUACGGAGGGUGCUAGCGUUAAUCAGAAUUACUGGGCGUAAAGAGCACGUAGGUGGUUUUUUUAAAGUCAGAUGUGAAAUCCCUGGGCUUAACCUAGGAACUGCAUUUUGAAACUGAAAUACUAGAGUAUCGUAGAGGGAGGUAGAAUUCUAGGUGUAGCGGUGAAAUGCGUAGAUAUCUGGAGGAAUACCUGUGGCGAAAGCGGCCUCCUAAACGAAUACUGACACUGAGGUGCGAAAGCGUGGGGAGCAAACAGGGAUUAGAUA
rnacentral:rRNA from 1 species